AACAACUAUAGUCUUCCUCCCCUUAGGGUCCAUUGACUGUUACCCAAACAGUGUGUAAGUCAUCUGUUCCCUGCCUCUUCUCCUGUCCUCCCUUCUCCUGCUUCCCAGUCUUCUUUGACUCUCCUCAAGAGCGGCAGAUGAUAACCUCUUUUAUGUAGACACUGUAUUCCUGAAAUAAUGCUGAGCCUUCCUUCAGCACACCAAACUGUCUCAAAAUCUUAGACUUCCUCUGUGUUUGUAUCCCUUAAAAGAUUUACUGUUUUGCUAAACUCUGCUGUGUAAAAGCACAUAGCUUUGAUAACUCCUCACCUACCUGGACCUUAUCUUUUACUUACAUUUAGGGUAAAAGUGUUAUUUUUACUAGUAAAAUUAAAUUGUGUAAAAGUGAUUUCUAAAUGAGAAACUACUACAUAAAUUUAAAGGAGUUUUCAUGAAAUCAGGUUUCCCCCAAAAUAUCCA
rnacentral:lncRNA from 1 species